GAUUAACGCUAGCGGCAGGCAUAAUACAUGCAAGUUGAACGGCAGCACAGGUAGCAAUACUGGGUGGCGAGUGGCGCACGGGCGCGUAACACGUAUGCAACCUACCCUAUACAGGCGAAUAACCUUUAGAAAUGAGGGCUAAUACGCCGUAGUAUUACAGAUGGGCAUCUAUUUGUAAUUAAAGAUUUAUCGGUAUAGGAUGGGCAUGCGUCCCAUUAGUUAGUUGGUAAGGUAACGGCUUACCAAGACGAUGAUGGGUAGGGGAUCUGAGAGGACUUACCCCCACACUGGUACUGAGACACGGACCAGACUCCUACGGGAGGCAGCAGUAAGGAAUAUUGGGCAAUGGCCGCGAGGCUGACCCAGCCAUGCCGCGUGCAGGAAGACGGCCUUAUGGGUUGUAAACUGCUUUUAUACGGGAAUAAUAGAGUGUACGCGUACAUUUAUGCAAGUAUCGUAUGAAUAAGCAUCGGCUAACUCCGUG
rnacentral:rRNA from 1 species